GCCCCUGGGUCCUGGCUUGCUCUCAGGGCGGCCCAGGAGGUGCCUCCGUUCUUCCCACACUGCCCUGACCUCCAGGUGCCUCCUGCCGUCUCCCGCUCCUCAGGUCACACAGGUACCCUUCCUGGGUAGGUCUGCAGGCCCUGGUCCCUGUCACCACCGUCCCCUCGGUGCCACUGUCUAGCUGGUCAGUGUCACUCUGGAACAUGGAGCUGCCCGCCCAGCUCCAAGCUCGGGGGCUAAUGCUCUGCCCCCCCCCCACUGACCUUGAGGUCUAGCGCAGAGGCUGCAUCUCUUGGCCCAGCUGCCCUCAAGCCCCGUCUCUCCUCCCUCCAAAGUGACGUGUGGGUGUUUAUUGAGUCUUAACGGGAAGCAGAACCUGAAUCCCUCUGUGGGAUCCCCUCUGGCGGGUGUGGGUCCAGGCUUCCGGCCUGAGCACACCAUUUCAGACCCGACCCUGCAUCCAUCACGUUCCCUCUGGUCCCCGCCUCCCGGGGUUGUAGUGAGACUGACCAGCGGCUUCCCGCGUCCAGCCAGAACACUCGUUUGUCCCCACAAGAGGGAGGCCAAAGGCCCACAGGAUGUGGCCACGGGCACAGUCCGUGGUCCACGGUGUAAAUUCCACCGAGUAACAAGGCGCGAGUCCCUGGCACCUGGUGCCCUCCAUCUCUCCUCAGUGUCAAGGAGCUGAACUCUGCAGACGGUGAACGCGUGGCCCUGCAACCGUCUUCCCUGGUGACCGGCUCUCGGUUUGGUGGGGUGGGGGUCUCUUGGUUUGGUGGGUGGGGGUCUGGGCUCUCUAAGGCGGCCUCCACCCCAGCCCCGAAGUGAGCAAGGUGCCGAAGGACCGCUCCUUCCCUGGACAGUCCUCUCCUCCAGUCUCGGCCACAGCCUGGUGUUUUCUGAGGACCCUGAGCCGAUGCUCGGUCCCCCUCCUGUUUGGGCCUGGUGG
rnacentral:lncRNA from 1 species